UCCAGGGUAGCCUAGUGGACAUGGUAUCUGCCCGGUAAUCGGAACACUGUGGGUUCGAUUCCCAUCCCUGGAC
rnacentral:tRNA from 1 species